CAGGGGUCAGGUUUCAUGAGGACACCUCAUGAAAAGGCCUCAUAACUAGAAGCCAGGUCUGAAAUAAUGAGGUGCUGGUGGGUUGUUAAAGUAAAACCAUACAAGCUGGUGGGACAAAAAUUUAUAUUAUGUCAAAGUCGUAUCUUUCUGGAAAACACCUCCCUGGUAGCCAUCAGUCACGCUGCUGCUCAUCUCCAGGAGAUGAAUGUUUUGUACCAUGUGUAGGGAAGACAAAACCAGUCCCCUGUUUUUUCCAGAAGUCAGGGAGUUUUGCCAAGCAGACAUACAGGCUAGUCAUUGAAGGCCGUUUCCUCCGACUGUGCUGCCCAAGUCCUCGACAGUGGGAAUCGGUUAGAAGACAGAGGCAGGGCAGAGGACAGCCACCUAACCACCUAAGCGUUGAGGCAGCAGAAGUCCUUGCUUACCCGUUAGGAUAUGGAGAGCCAGAUAAUGCAGAGGGCUCAGGGCAUGUCCGCAUGGCCUUAAGCAGAAGGCCCUGCUCACAUCACCCCAGGGCAUUGGUGCCAUGACCACCGGUCACUGGGUUGUUUGAGCAGCAUCGGUGUCCCAGAUCACCGAUGGAGUUUAAGUCCUUUAACCCAGUGACACUACUGAGUCAGAGUUACUUUUCAAUGCUAAGUAUGCUCUCUUUUUCCUUUCAGUUUGCUGGGGAGGUUGUUUUGCAUGUGUGCCCCAGCUGUGUGGCAAGUAGGAUAGCUUGGUCACUUUGAGAUUCCAGUUGUACUGAACGGCUAAUGAAACAUGGUUCGGUGUACUGUUCAGCUGUGUUUAAAAAGAGGGCUCAGUGGCCAGACCCUAUCAGUGCGGGCAGGACGGCCUGGCAGAGAGCCUGUGUCUGUCAUGAUAAGGAGCUGGGAGCUCCCCAGUCUUCCAUCAGCCUCUUCUCCCAUGAUCUGUGUCAAAUCAUCAACGUUGUUGGAAGGAGAGCGGAAGCCAUACAAAGUUGUAAGAAGCAUUAUUAUUUUCUUUAAACCUUGUAAAGGAAAAGAAUAGGCUGGGUGCGGUGGCUCACUCCUAUAAUCCCAGCACUUUGGGAGGCAGAGGCGGGCAGAUCACCUGAGGUCGGGAGUUCGAGGCCAGCCUGGGCAAUAUGGUGAAACCCCAUCUCUACUAAAAAUACAGAAAUAUUAGCCAGGCAUGGUGGUGCAUGGCCACCAGCCUCCCGAGUAAUUUCAGCUACGUGGGAGGCUGAGACAGGAGAAUAGCUUGAACCAGGGAGGCGGAGGUUGUGGUAAGCCAAGAUCAUGCCACUGCAUUCCAGCCUGGACAAGAGAGUGAGACUCUGUCUCAAAAAAAAAAAAAAAAAAAAAAAAAAAAAAAAAACAAAGAAAGAAAACAAAUGCUAGCUUAAACUGGGAUGCAUAGUAAGAUAAACCUCUGAUGAAAUACAUUCCAGAAAGCAGUUUUUUUAACACCCAUACAGCAUUUAAAGGACCAUAUAUCCAGAACAUGUCCAUCUCUUUGAAUCCCACAUUUCAAAGUAUAUUUGACCAGAUAAAAUUAUGGAUGGGAAUGAAGCUUGUGUAUCACUCAUUAUCAUGUGUAAUCAAUAAAUGAUUUAAUUCUCUUGGAAAAAAUGUAUAUUUGAAAAUGGUAACACCUCCGCUCCCAUCUACUCACUCUCCCCCUCAACAGGUGAGGACCUCAGAAGUGCAGGAUUAUCUUUUGGUCAGAUGGAGGUAGAGAAUCAAAACCCUGGGUGAACCGAGCCGGGGAGUUUGGGAUAAUUGGGAGAGUCGAAAAUCUCCGAGGUGCCCUGAGCUGUGCUAAUGAUUCCUGCUUGGAUCUCCCAGCCAGGUGCCCAGAGGGAGGUCUGGUUUGGAAGGUCGGUAUUGGCAGAUGGAGGUGGGGUGGGGGAGGUGGGGGAGCCUGGCAGGAGCAGGCUGUUCCUUUGGUGUUUUUGCUGUUCUGGCUGGAGGUUUGCUGUGUUAGGAGCAGUGAAAGGGAAAGAGAACCUCACUAUCAUCCUGCAUCCGUGUCCUAUGAUCAAAUCGGCCAUCUGGGGGUGUGUGGCAGUUGCUUAUUGGGACUCUAUGCAAAUGUGUCUGCAGGCCAUGUUUCUGUGGAAUGAGGGAGCACAGCUGUGACCAUCUCACACAGGCAUGCAAGUGAUUUUUAAAAUGUCCUAUACUUUGCUAUCUCCAUAAAACUGCUUCCAAAUAAAUAAAACAUUUUCUAAUCAGAAAUAUUGAGUGAUAACCAGAUGUUGGCUGUCCAGCAUUUUAAGGAGAGGAUUUGAGGUAUAUCUUUCAUUCCAUUUCUGAGGGUUUUUUUUGCCUUUCAAGAUGAGCAAACAUCCUUGUCCUGAGAAGAAAGGGGUGAUCUCCGCUUUAAGGAGACCAUGGAGGGUGGGCGUGGUGGUGCAUGCCUGUAAUCCCAGCACUUUGGGAGGCCAAGGUGGGCAGAUCACUUGAGUUCAGGAGUUUGAGACCAGCCUGGACAACAUAGUGAGACUCCAUCUCUACAAAUAAAAUACUAAAAUUAGCCAGGCAUGGUAGCAUGCACCUGUAGAUCCAGCUGCCUGGGAGGCUGAGAUGGGAGGAUCACUUGAGCCUGGGAGGUCCAGGCUGCAGUGAGCCGAGAUUGCGCCCCUGCACUCCAGCCUGGGCAGCAGAGUGAGACCCUGUCUCAAAAAAAAAAAAAAAAAAAAAAAAAAAAAGACCAUGGGGAAGCCAGGCAUGGUGGUUUAUGCCUGUAAUCCUGGCACUUUGGGAGGCCAAGGCAGGAGGAUUGCUUGAGUUCAGGAGUUUGAGACCGGCCUGUGCAACAUAACAAGACCCCCACCUCUACAAAAUACUUACAAAUUAGCUGAGCACAGUGGCACUUACCUGUAGUCCAGGCUACUUGGGAGGCAGACGAAGGAGGAUUGCCCGAGCCCAGGAGUUCAAGGUUGCAGUGAGCUGUGAUUGCACCACUGCACUCCAGCUGGGCAACAGAGCAAGGUCCUGCCUUAAACAAAAACAGAAGGACACUUUUGAUGACUUAGAGGUCAGCCUGUCAGCUGGACCCCCGACAGAGGACCUCAGCUCAGAGGGGUUUGCAGGCUGUAUCCCAUGCGUGAUAUUCCGCCCGAAACGCGGGUGCAUAUUUCCCUCUGUUUUCAUCAGUAAGAGCAGAUUAGGUAGGGAUUUCCAGUAGAUUGAUGUAUCUACCAAGCAAAAAGGCCUAGUGAGGAAAAGCCCAGGUUAGAAGGUACAGCUGCCAGCAGGAGGCAGGACACAGAGUGAGCCGUUUGACAAUGCUCCCUUUUCUCUUCUGUAAAAUGAGGACUUCUGUCCUGACUACCAUGCCAAGUUGUGAAAAGAUUGAAAACACAUGAAAUAGAUGUUAAUUUAUUAGGGAAAGAUAGUCUUGCUAUAUAAAUGCAAAGUGGUACUGGUACCAAAAUGAUGUUCAGAACUAAAUGUGGUGGUGGUGUUUCAUUCAAUACUGAGGAGGAAAUUCUUGGCUUGGUCAGGAAUGGUGGGACCUGUGAGUUGGGAUUUGUAAAUGGCCCUUGAAACCAGGCGCAGUGGCUCACGCUUGUUAUCCCAGCACUUUGGGAGGCCGAGGCGGGUGGAUCACGAGGUCAGGAGAUCGAGACCAUCCUGGCUAACGCGGUGAAACUCCAUCUCUACUAAAAAUACAAAAAAUUAGCUGGGUAUGGUGGCAGGCGCCUGUAGUCCCAGCUACUCUGGAGGCUGAAGUAGGAGAAUGGCGUGAACCCAGGAGGCAGAGCUUGCAGUGAGCCGAGAUCGCACCACUGCACUCCAGCCUGGGCCAGAGAGUGAGACUGUCUCAAAAAAAAAAAAAAAAGAAAAAGAAAGAAAAGAAAAUGGCCCUCGAACAAUUCUCGCAGCCUUUGCCUGGGGCCAGGCCCGGUGCUGUUUGCAGUAUGGCUGGCUGUGAUAUGGACUUGUGUGGAAUGUGCCUUACCAGGCACCAUGGUGCCCAGGAAGGAACGUGUAGAAUCCCAAGCCCUGGGGUGUGUCCACUUCGCCUGCUGGCUCCAGCUGAUGAAACGCAUGCAUGUACACACACACACAUGCACGAACACAGUCACAUCCGUGUGUGGGAGGCAGCAUGGGAGAGCCUUGGACUUGGUGUCCAGGGCCCUGCAUCCAGACUCAGAUUCCACCUUCCUGUCUGUGCCCUUGAUCAAGUCCCUUCUGCAUUCUUAGUCCAGUUUCUGCCUCCGUGAAAUGGGAGGCCCGCUUUCUGGGUUGAGUCUUUGGACCCCACAGUCCUUAGCUCAAAUCACCUGUUUUCUGCCUUUGCUUUGCUCUGUGGGAGUAAAUUCCUGUCUGUAUGUCCUGCUGGAAAACGCCACCCUUAGGUUGCUGGGGUCCCAGUGUCUUUAGGGCCCUCCACAUUGAACUGGCAUCAGGGAGAGAAUUGGUGGCUGGGCAGGACGUGGGGUUCAUCCCUGAGAGCAGUAUGUGAAACUGGAGUCUGACUGGACCACCCUGGGCGUCCUCCUGCCAUCUUCGGAUUUCUGUUUUAUUUGCAUAAUCCAUCCACAUUUCUUGCAUUUUAAGGACUUAAGAUCAUGUAACAGUGUCGUUCUGUGUUGUAUUCACUUCGUCUUGAUUAUUUUAAUUCCGUUUUUCCUUAAUACCCAUAAAUCUUCUCCCUCUGUGGAGGGCAGCCACUUUGAGCAUAUUUAGAAGGCAACUUGAUCCCAGGCAGCUUGUCCGACUUCAUUGCUGCCUCCUUCGUGAACUUGUUUAGAUCCUGUGUGGAGCAGAUGAUUAAGUUAGGUUUGUUUGGGGGUGUGGGGGCAAAGGAGCUUGACUGUCUCUGCGGGCAUAUUGCUUUAAUUUUUUGACCUUAUGACAAAAUAGUUUGAUGGAGAUUUGCGUUAUUUCCUGGCCAUUUUUGCUAUUAGAGGUUGAUAUACACUCUUUGGCAAGACCUCUCUGAUCUAGAAGACUCCAUCAUCAGCAUGGUUUGUGUAAUAGCUGAGAAACACAAUUCAGCUUUAUUAGAAAAAAAUGUAAAUGAUGUAUCGGCCUGGUGCGGGGGCUCACACCUGUAAUCCCAAUGUGUCCAGAGUUCAUUCCUUUUGGUGGGUUCUUAGUCUCACUGACUUCAACAGUGAAGCUGUGGACCUUCGCGUUGAGUGUUACCUUAAAGGUGGUGCGGACCCAGAGUGAGCAGCAGCAAGAUUUAUUGUGGAGAGCAAAAGAACAAAGCUUCCACAGUGUGGGAGGGGACCCAGGCAGGUUGCUGCUGCUGGCUGGGGUGGCCAGCUUUUAUUCCCUUAUUUGUCCCUGCCCAUGUCCUGCUGAUUGGACCAUUUUACAGAGUGCCGGUUGGUCCAUUUUACAGAGUGCUGAUUAGUGCACUUACAAUACUCUAGCUAGCCACAGAGCGCUGAUUGGUGCUUUUUACAGAGAGCUGAUUGGUGCAUUUACAAUCCUCUAGCUAGCCACAGAGCGCUGAUUGGUGCAUUUUUACAGGGCGCCCAUUGGUACAUUUAUAAUCUUUUGUAAGACAGAAAAGUUCUCCAAGUCCCCACCCAACCCAGGAAGUCCAGCUGGCUUCACCUCUCACCAACACUUUGGGAGGCUGAGGUGGGUGGAUCAUCUGAGGUCAGGAGUUUGAGACCAGCCUGACCAACAUGGUGAAACCCUAUCUCUACUAAAAAUACAAAAAUUAGCCAGGCGUGGUGGCAGGCACCUGUAAUCCCAGCUACUUGGGAGGCUGAUGCAGGAGAAUCGCUUGAACCUGGGAGGCGGGGGUUGCAGUGAGCUGAGAUUGCACCACUGCACUCCAGCCUGAGCGACAAGCUCAAGACUCCAUUUCUAAAUAAAUAAAUAAAAAUAAUGUAUCAAGAGCCUGGGCAACAUGGUGAAAUCCCAUCUCUACAAAAAAAAAAAAGAAAAGAAAAGAAAAAUUAACUGGGCAUGGUGGCGUGCUCCUGUAGUCCCAGCUACUUGGGAGGCUGAGGCAAGAGGAAUGCUUGAACCCUGGAGGUGGAGGUUGCAGUAAGCCAGGAUCAUGCCAGCCUGGCUCCAGCCUCCAAGAUGCACUCCAGCCUGGGUGACAGAGAGAGACCCCAUCUGAAUAAUAUAUCAAGGAAGGCAUAUAACCAUAAAAAUAUUUUUAAAUGCCAAAAUGUUUUCAUAAAGAUGUAAGCGUGCAUCACUUGAUUAUUUUUAAAGGAUGUUGGGGUUGCCCUGGCUAAUAACCGUAGCCAGCAAAGUCACCCGUGGUUAUGACUUCAGUUUGUUCUGCGGAAGUGAUUCUGAUGUCAUAAAACUGCCUGGACUUGGCUGAGAGGAUGAUGGGGCAGAAGAAGCGUUGUUUAAGCCAUAUGUUUGUUGUGCGUAGUGGCAGGAAGGGGCAAUUUACCGCCUGCAGAAAUGGGCUGCUGUUGCAAUUGGAGAACGUGGGAAGUUGUCUUGUAAGGAGAAAAGGGACAAAGGCUGGUUAAUCAGGUCUGGGAAAGCACUGUGAUAAUGAAACUGAAACCCUGGAGAAGAAGAGUGGUCUUGGCAAUCGGGAUAGAAGGCACAGAGGGAUUCAGAGGUAAAACAGCUGUUUGUCUUGAAGUGAGUAUCCGUCGGAGGGCUGUUUCACCCCCUCAUGUCAGCAUAAUCACUCACAAACAAGGUUUCAGAAUUAAAGACUACUGUUUAUACGGGGAGAACAGGCUCUGAGUUCCAUUUGAGAUAAAGUGAUUCUGUGGGAACCGUCAUGAGUGCCAUGCUGGGUUCAUCAGUUAUAAAACAGGUGAAUUUCACAUUGCCUCGUAUCACCUCUUUUGGUGGAAUUUUCAGUUAGUAAAGAGUUCCUUUUGAGAUUGCAGUUGACAGAAAUUUCUUAUAUUACCCUCAUGGCCAGAUAAAUAUAAACAUGAAAAUAAUUCCGCCUGGGUGGUGGUGAAUGUGUUAACAUGUGAUCAUCACUACACAGUGUCUGCAUGUAUCAAAUCAGCACAGUGUACACCUGGAACGUGUGCAGUCUCUAUUUGUCAGUUAAAUGUUUUACAUUUUUUUUUUAAGAAGAUUUGAAACCAAAAAAUAAAGAAUUUAGAAUGGUACAUUCUUGGCUGAAUAAACAACUGAUUCUACUUAACGACUACAAAUACAUCAUUUCCUACCUGGUAAGAAGUUUCUCAUUGUGGGAGAAAGGCUCUAACUCAUGCUGAGAAUUUCUGAGUGAUGUCAGUGAAGACGUGUUUAUCACAUUCACAGUUGACCCAAGGCAGAAGGUUCUAAACCCAGUGAACAAGAAUGAAGGGAUUAAACUACAAAAUAAGAGUUAACAGGGAGAAAUGUGCUAGCUACGAAAGGGGGGAAUCAGGGAAAAUGGUCAUCUUUCGUUGACUUGGUUUAAUAUUAGCAAUUUUGUGGUUUGGGGGUGGGUAAAAGUGGUUGAUUUAUUCACAAAGUAAUUUAAUUUGGGUGCCUGUAAUGUGCCAGACACUUGAGGAAUGUGAACAUGCGGCAGAGACUAAAACAGACAACUUAAUCCCGCUAUGAAGCUUAAUGAUCUGGUUGAGGGACAGAGAAGCUGCAGUAAAUGCAAUAGAUAAAUUAUAUAUUAAGACUGGGCGCGGUGGCUCAUGCCUGUAAUCCCAGCACUUGGGCAGGCCGAGGCGGGCAGAUCGUCUAGGUCAGGAGUUCAAGACCAGCCUGGCCAACAUGGCAAAACCGUGUCUCUACUAAAAAUACAAAAAUUAGCCGGCCUUGGUGACGUGCUCCUGUAGUCACAGCUAUUUGGGAGGCUAAGGCAGGAGAAUCACUUGAACCCGGGAGGCAGAGGUUGCAGUGAGCUGAGAUCGCACCACUGCACUCCAGCCUGGGCAACAGAGCAAGAUUCCGUCUCAAAAAAAAAAAAAAAAAAAAAUUAGAAGGAGAGAGAAAUGAUGUGGGGGUUACUUAAAGCGAAGGAAGUGGGGAAGGCUGCAGUUUUUUUGUUUUGAUUUUGUUUUGUUUUUGUUUUUGAGACGGAGUCUCUCUCUGUUGCCCAGGCUGGAGUGCAGUGGCGCAAUCUCGGCUCACUGCAAGCUCCGCCUCCCGGGUUCACGCCAUUCUCCUGCCGCAGCCUCCCGCGUAGGUGGAACUACAGAUGCCUGCCACCACGCCCAGCUAAUUUUUGUAUUUUUAGUAGAGACGGAGUUUCACCUUGUUAGCCAGGAUGGUUUCGAUCUCCUGACCUUGUGAUCCGCCUGCCUCGGCCUCCCAGAGUGCUGGGAUUGCAGGCGUGAGCCACCGCGCCCGGCCUUGAUACUGUUUUUGAGACAGAGUUUCACUCUUGUUGCCCUGGCUGGAGUGCAGUGGCACUGUCCUGGCUCAAUGUAAUCUCCACCUCCUAGAUUCAAGCAAUUCUCCUGCCUCAGCCUCCGAGUAGCUGGGACUAUAGGUGCAUGCCACCAUGCCUGGCUAAUGUUUUUGUGUUUUUAGUAGAGAUGAGGUUUUACUAUAUUGGCCAGGCUGGUCUCCAACUCCUGACCUCAGGUGAUCCACCUGCUUCGGCCUCCCAGAGUGCUGUGAUUAUAGGCGUGAGCCACCAUGCCCAGCCUGCAGUUUUAAUUAGAGUAGUCAGGCUUCACUGAAAAGGUGCCACUGGAGGAAGGAUGGGAAGCAGAUGACAAAGUUAGCCACGUGGCCAUCUGGUGAAGAGCGUUGCAGAUAGAGGGCAGAGCCAACACAGAGGCCAAAAUGGAGAGGUGAAUCUGGUAUGUUCAAGGAACAGCAAAGAGGCCAGCGUGUCUGGAACGAUGAGGGAAGACGUUAGUAGGAGUUGAAGACAUUCUGUUUCCCCAAUGUGAAAUAGGGACCAGGCUUAAUGUGUGAUGGUUCAAGAGACAAGAACCAAUAGCAACAAGUCAGUGUUACUGGGAGAUGAUUUGGGGUUAAUAUAAGGAACAUUGAGCAAGUUGGGCUGCUGGGGACUCAUGGAAACUGCUUUGAUCCACUGUCUAGUCAUGAACACAAUGUGAUAAGGACCUCUGUCUUCCAACAGGUAGCAGUGGGUGGGAUGGGUAUGUCAUUUAAAUAAAAACCAAGUCUUACAGACUAUUUGCAGAGCCAGUGCAGGACUAGACCCAGGGCCGGCAGGCAUUGCUCCUAUCUGGGCUGGAUUAACUUGAAUCAGGAAUUAUUGGGGCCAUUGAUGACAUCUGUCUGGCCAGCGGGGCAGCAGUUGGCCUGUGAGUAUUGAUGUCAUAUGGUUAUGUUGGAUCCUCCCAAGUGAGAAACAGCUGAGGUUUACGGACACAAGAACUCUACUAAUUUAAAAAUAUGCCUAUAAAGACCUUUCUAUAAAGUAAGUUUUUAGGUAGCUUUUUGUUUGGAAGUCCUUAAGAUAUGGGGAAUUUUUUUUUUUCAAUUUUUUUGUCAGAGUAAUAUGUGUACAAGGUUCAAAAGUCAGGUAUUUACUAGACUUAUAAAGAAAAGCCCUGCCGCUCCCCCCUUUCUACUCCUGACUCCUGUUCCCUCGAGGCAGCCACUCCCAGCUCUUGGAGCUGUUUCUUCUGACAUGUUUACAUGGUUCUCUCUUAGUUUCUUCAGUUUCCAGUCCACCCAGUGUAAUUAUAAUUGGAUUACAUUAAUAUUCACUAUAUACAUUGCUGUGACCAUAUAAUUACUCAGUUGACCCAGAUCAUAUACCAGGAUUACCUAGCCUUUCUUAACACUUUUUCCUCUGUGAUAUUAGUAAUUGUCUCAUUUGUUUCCUUUGAUUAGUUUUCUAUAAAUCUAUCACAAAGUCAUCUCCAGACACUCUGUCAGAGCCGAAACGUUCCUCCCAGUUUCGUUAGACACUUCAGGUAUUGUGUCGCUCAUUCGGAUCUCAGUGGCAUCCGGGAGCCCUCAGUCCCCAGAUCCGGUCUGAAGGUGUCACUCAAUUGCUGCAAUCUCACGAUCAAGCUGGAGCAGAUGAGGAGUCUCGAUGCACAGAGACAGUGGUUUCUUGAGAUGGAACCUAGUCCUGGUGAAGAUUCUGUGAUCAUUGUUGAAAUGACAACACAGGAUUUGAAACAUGACAUAAGUUAGUUGAUAAAGCAGCAGCAUGGUUUGAGAGGAUUGACUCCAAUUUUGAAAGAAGUUCUGAGCCCAGCAAGAUUGCUCAUGACUAUAAUCCCAGCACUUUGGGAGGUCGAGGCAGGCAGAACACCUGAGGUCAGGAGUUCAAGACCAGCUUGGCCAACAUGGUGAAACCUCAUAUCUACCAGUAAUACAAAAAUUAGCUGGGUGCGAUGGCACACUCCUGUAAUCCCAGCGACUUGGGAGGCUGGGGCAGGAGAAUCACUUGAACCCAGGAGGCGGAGGUUGCAGUAAGCCGAGGUUGUGCCGUUGCUCUCCAGCCUGAGCGACAAGAGUGAAACUCCAUCUCAAAAAAAAAAAAAAAAAACUUUUUAAAUAUUUAGUCAGGCACAGUGGCAUGCGCCUGUAAUUCCAGCUAUUCAGGAGGCCAAGGAAGGGAUGUCUCUUGAGUCCGAGAGUUCAGGGCAACAGUGAGCUGUGAUCAAGCCACUGCACUCCUUCCUGGGCAGCAAAGUAAGACCCUGUCUCUAAAAAAAUAAAAUAAUCAUUCAAA